CCCUUGACAACUGAAGAGAAAAGGGUAACUUUUGUUGAUCUAGGGCUCCACAGCAGUUAGUAACAUUGGAUUGGUUUUCGUUUGUCAAAUAUCCGUUGGAUUGCAGCAUGUAUUUGCAGCAUCAGCCUUAUGCAGUGGCAACAUAUUCCGUAGUUAAAACAACCAUUGUGCCAAUGCUGGACUUGUGUGGGUUUAUGGAGGAACUGAGGAACUGAGCCUGCGCCUCAGGUGGGCCACUACAGCAAGAAGCAGAAUUAACUCGCUAUGCGUGCCGCUGGGGAGCUGACGGGCCGCCUGGACGGCCGGCGUGAGCUCCGGGCCCUGCUCCUGAGGGUGGAGGAGGCCCACCGGGCCGACAUCCUCACCUACUGCUCAGGACACCUGAACCCCAACAGGCGGCCCCAAAAGACACCCAACGGGACAGUGACAGCGAAGGAGCCCAAAUGGACGGGUUCUUCCG